rnacentral:lncRNA from 1 species
CGCUGCCCCUGCAGGUGUGGGAGACGGUGACGAUGGCGUUCCCGGCGAUGGAGGACUACUUAUCGGUGUAGUGCUCGUCGGCGAUGGAGAUGGUGGUGUAGCUGCAGGUCCACCGGCUGGAGCGCUCGUCGGAGAUGUAGAUGAAGAUGCGGGUCCACUGGCUGGAGCGCUUGCCGGAGACAGUGAUGGAGAUAAAGCUGCAGGUCCACCCGCUGGAGCGCUCGUCGGAGACGUAGCUGUAGGCCCACCAGCCGGAGGAGUGCUUAUCGGAGAAGGAGAAGUAGCCGGAGGUACACCUGCCGGAGGGGUGCUUAUUGAAGACGGAGAUGAAGCCGUAGGUCCACCGGUCGGAGGGGUACUUGCCGGAUAUGGUGAUACAGACGGGGAAUUUCCAAUCGGAGAAGGUGAAACCGAGGGAGUAUAUGCCGUUGGGGAUCCAGAUGGUGAAGGAGAAGAUAUUGGUGGUGGAACAGUGGGUGUUUGUGUUUGUUUUCGUUGGGACAAAACAACAAGGCUUAAUUUCUGACCCUUCUCACAAUUUUCAUCUUUUCCACUAAUGAAGUAAAAUGGUCCUGAUCGAUCCAACGUCAACUCUGUCUCACCUUCUUCUAAUUUCUUAAUUGG